ensembl:lncRNA
GGGUCUCUUUUUAUGCCGUUGGCAACAAUCCUCAGAUUAUAGAAAAAUUAUUCUCCUGCCUGAAAUCGUCAAAAAAUUGGACCAAACAUAUGAAGCAAUGCUUUGAAGACAUUGGACACCAGACAGCAAAAGGCAGGUGGGAAAACAACUGAUGUGUACUCCCGACUGACUCAGCUUCCUGUCUGUAAAGAGCUUCCAGGUCAGAGUGCAGAGGGCGUGUGGGCGGGGGAUGGGGCUGCAGUCAGGCCCCAGGAGGUCUCUAGGUUGAAGAGAGAGCCGAAAGGUGGCUGAGACCAAGGUGACCAGGGCUCUCAAAGAAAAGUGCCGGAGCAAAGAGGGACGCCGGAGAGAAUGCGGAGAUCUCUGUCCACAGUUCCCAGUGAGUACCGAUGAACAGGAGAGUGAACAGACUGCAGACAUCAGUAAAAACCAAGUGAAAGGGGGCCGGGGGAUUUAGCUCAGUGGUUCUGCUACUGCCUGGCAAGCGCAAGGUCCCAAGUUUGAUCCCCGGUACUAAAAAAAAAUCCCAGACAACAAAAAAAUCAAAAACAGAAAACCAAGUGAAAGGGUUAGAGGGGGACACUCGCCGCAGUUUAUACAAGGCUGAGCAUUGCUUCUGUUUCCCUCAGACUGGAAAACUGUAGCGUUCUCAGAGGGCUUUCCCAUUGAUAGUGCAGAAUAAUUAGCCAUAGAAGAAAUUCUUCUCUUAACCCCCUUUUUUCAGCACUGGGGAUUGAACUCAGCGCCUUUACACUGAGCUACAUCCCCAGCCCUUUUAAUUUUUUUAUUCUGAGACAGGGUCUUGCUAAGUUGCCCAGGCUGGGCUUGAACUUGUGAUUAUCCUUCCUUGGCCUCUUAGAGGCUGGAAUUAUAAGCCUGCACCAUCACGCCUGGCUUCUUACCCAUUUUUAAAAAGCUUAAAGGCAAGACUCUGAAAGGACAGAGAAAAAGGAAAACACUACCCCUACUGAGCAGAGAAAAUAAAAUCGCCCCACAAAUGACAAGCAGUUAUGGUAACUGUAUCCAACACAGGAAAGCUACAGGAAAGGGCUGGGAUUUAGCUCAAAAAAAAGAGAAGAAGCUACAGGAAAGAUCGAACAUAGUAAAUAGAGGCCUGGACACAGGAAAAAGAUCUAAAUCACACUUCUGAGAUGAAAAGAAAUCUACAGUGUCUUCAGUGGCAUACACUGGAAUAGAUUAAGUAUCAGUUAUAAUUUAUAGGAAAAAAGAAUAGUGAAUGUCAGUAUGAAAAAUUUCCCACGAAGAGAAAGAGAGAAGUGAAAGAAGAAUCAUAAUUGGAGACUUCUCUGUCCCAGAUCUGGAGCACUUAAUGGCGAUAACAUGUCAUUUCUCCCUAAAUCCAUGGCUAGACGUGACACAAUCAUGUGCCGAGUUCGAGUUGGCACUUAAGGCUUUGGCUCACCCCUCCCUCCAUCAGAUCCUUAUUCAAAUUCUUCCUCUUUGGAAAUCCUGUGGGUAAAGCUUGAGUGAAGCAACCAGUCCUGGCACAAACUCCAGGGAGGAGGCUGCUGAGGGAGGAUGCAGACCACACGGUGAUCUUAGAGGCAGCCUGGGCUUCCCCUACCUGGACACACGCUACAGUUUCUGCCCCUCAUGCAGGGCACGGCCCAAGGGGCUUCCCAGGGUUAGCCCGGGAGAGGGGCUCCGCAGACCGAGCUGAGGAAAAGCAGCGCGUCCGCCAACAGAUCCCUGCCCUUCAGCACCCGCUCUGCAGAGCCCAUCGGUGUUCCCAAGGAAGGGACCAUCUCACUACAGUAAGGAACCCGGAGCGCAGCGCCGUCUCCCAUCACUAGGUGGCGGUGUCGCGCUCCCAGCGGGAGAGGCGUGGGUGUGGACCGGUCUGGGACCCAGGCGGUCUCAGCGACCUGCAAACCAAACCCCAGAGCUGCCUGAGCCACCAGGAAAUGGAAAGAACCGCUACUAGUGAAGCUUAAUCUUUUUAUACUUGUACUGGUGAAACUGGCGCUCUUUCAGAACAAUGGUUUUUAAAUGCAGAAACUAGGCAUAAAUGAGAAGAUGCAGUGAUUUGGAAAGGAUGACCAGCACAAGCGACUUUGCAAGAUCGAUGCAGCGACUGUACUAUGACACGAAAAUACCUUCAUUUCUAUUGGUACUGCUAACACCGCUAUGUGUUUUGUUUGUUUGUUUGGCACUAGGGACUGAACCCAGGGCUUUCACACUGAACGUCAACCCCAGCCCUUUUUUAAAAUUUUGAGACAGAGUUUUUCUACGUCACUGAGUUGCCCUGGCUGGGCUUGAAUUUGCAAUCCCCCUACUCCUUUCUCUUUUUUCUUGUGGCACCAGGAAUUGAACCCAGGGCCUCUGUGUUGAGCUACAUUCCCAGCCCUUUAAAAAAAUGUUUUAAAUUUUGAGACAGGGUCUCUCUAAAUUGCCUGUGCAGGGCUUAAACUUGUGAUUCUCCUGCCUCAGCCUCCCAGAGUUCUGAGAUUACAGGCAUGCACCACUACAACCAAUGGUACCACUAUGGUUUAUUUCUUACAUUGGUAACUGAGCAAAACUUCAACUAUCACUUAGAAAUGAGUGAGAAAAAAUAUUAUUUCCCCAUUCUGGUUCAGAAGGGGACUUCAUGAAUUCUAUCUGUGGGCCCAAGGUUAAAAAACCCUUUGUGAUCAAACAAGUGACACAGAAGAAAUGCAAUCCAAGCACAGGAGACUUUGCUGCCAGGCUCCUGCUCUGCUCCAGGCCUGUCAGCCUCCCGGCUCUGCCCUGACCUUUUUAAACUUUAUUGGUACACUUUUGAUAUACAUAAUAAUCACAUUCAUCAUGGGGGAUUUGUACCUGUACUUAAUGUAUCUUGAUUCUUCAUUUUUCCCCCAUGCCCCUUCCUUCCCUUCCACCCUCCUUCCCUUCCCCAUUUACAGAAGCUUUGUUUCCAUUUUUCCCCUCUAUUCCCUUUUUUCCCCCUUUUCCCUUCUUUCCUUUCCCCUCACCCCUCCCUUGUUCCCCUUCUCAUUUAAACAUUUUCUUCCUACUUCCCAAUAUCUAUCCUCCACUUUGGUCCUUAUUUACCCUUUGAGUUUCUCACAAAAGAGAAACAAUGUGAUGUUUAAACCUUUGUGUCUAAUUUCACUUGAAGUUAAGAUCUCAAGGUGCGUCCAUUUAGC